UACAGAGGGGGCAAGCGUUGUUCGGAAUUACUGGGCGUAAAGGGCGCGUAGGCGGCCUGUUAAGUCGAACGUGAAAUCCCCGGGCUCAACCCGGGAACUGCGUCCGAUACUGGCAGGCUUGAAUCCGGGAGAGGGAUGCGGAAUUCCAGGUGUAGCGGUGAAAUGCGUAGAUAUCGGGAGGAACACCAGUGGCGAAGGCGACUACCUGGCCUGUUUCUUGACGCUGAGGCGCGAAAGCUAGGGGAGCAAACGGG
rnacentral:rRNA from 1 species